UACGGAGGGAGCUAGCGUUGUUCGGAAUUACUGGGCGUAAAGCGCACGUAGGCGGCUUUGUAAGUUAGAGGUGAAAGCCUGGAGCUCAACUCCAGAACUGCCUUUAAGACUGCAUCGCUUGAAUCCAGGAGAGGUGAGUGGAAUUCCGAGUGUAGAGGUGAAAUUCGUAGAUAUUCGGAAGAACACCAGUGGCGAAGGCGGCUCACUGGACUGGUAUUGACGCUGAGGUGCGAAAAGCGUGGGGAGCAAACAGG
rnacentral:rRNA from 1 species